ensembl:misc_RNA 7SK 7SK RNA
GGAUGUGAGGGCUAUCUGGCUGUGGCAUCUGCCACCCCAUUGAUCGCCAGGGUUAAUUUGGCUGAUCUGGCUGGCUAGGCGGGUGUCCCCUUCCUCCCUCACUGCUCCGUGUGUGUCCUUCCCGAAGCUGCAGGCUUGGUUGAAGAGGACGACCACCCCAGAUAGAGGAGGACCGUUUCCUCUGUCCAGGGUAUGGGAGUAGCUGCGCUCCCCUACUAGAACCUCCAUACAAGCUCUCAAAGGUAGGAUCAGUGACAGCAUUAUGCUGAGCCAUAUUAGAACCUAAGGCAAAAGCA